GAUGAACGCUAGCUACAGGCUUAACACAUGCAAGUCGAGGGACCGGCGCACGGGUGAGUAACACGUAUCCAACCUGCCCUUUAAUCGGGGAUAGCCUUUCGAAAGAAAGAUUAAUACCCGAUGUAAAGGAUGGGGAUGCGUUCAAUUAGGUUGUUGGUGGGGUAAAGGGUAACCAAGCUUUCGAUGGAUAGGGGUUUGGUGAGGAAGGUCCCCCACAUUGGAACUGGAACACGAGCCAAACUCCUACAGGAGGCAGAAGUGAGGAAUAUUGUUCAAUGGGCGUUAGCCUGAACCAGCCAAGCAGCGUGAAGUAUGUAGGCUUAUGGGUCGUAAACUUCUUUUAUAUAAGAAUAUGUAUUAUAUGAAUAAGGAGCGGCUAACUCCGUGCCAGCAGCCGCGGUAAUUC
rnacentral:rRNA from 1 species